UGGCUCAGUGGUGAAGAGCACUGAUUGCUGUUCCAGAGGUCCUGAGUUCAAUUCUCAG
rnacentral:tRNA from 1 species